ACUAAUUAUUUUGAUUACCGCAUACUAGACAAUAUUAUUAUCGUAGUGAUAGUGAUAAAUAGUAAUAUAUAAAUAAUAUUAUAAUAAUACUUAAAUUAUUAAAUUCAUAACUGAGGCUUGAGAGUAUAGGUAUAUAAACAAGCUUACAAGCAGAGAGUAAUUGUAACCUGUAAGUAAUCUGCUAAUGUGAGCCGACGAUGCAUCCGUUUUGACUCUCGAGGAUUAGCAUAGGUUUUAGCCUAUGCUCUACAAGUACCUAGCGUAAUUGUUAUUGUUGUUGUUAUCGAUCACGUCUGGGGUUUCUUUAGGUUAUUGUUUGAGUAGCAUGACAACAUUUAAAUGGUUUAUGGUAUCCAGCAAAACGCGUACCAGCUAAUAGAAGGACGUUGUCGUUACGUUAUCGCUUCCACGCCAGAUCAAAGGAAACGGGUGUAUGAAUACUGUUAAACACAAGCCGGGAUUGCAACUUCAGUACCUGUUGCAAGGAGGCUCAUACCGAAACACCAAACUACACGAAAUAACCAUGAUUGGGGCGAUGCCUGCUGUGGCCGUCCGCCACGAGCGGCGGAGGCAAGAGAAAAAAGUGGUAUGCGUGAAUAAUCUGAACACCGGUGACCGGGAAGGCACAUCAAACACCACUGGAAACCGGAGACCGAGUCUUUUAACACUGCAGUCACCGCAUUCUCAGACCGGCACACCUAUCACUUCUCCGCCGUACAUCCAAAACACGCUGCCAGAUAUCUAUGUCUGCUCAAAAGGUAUAUUAAAAAAAAAAACUGCAUGAAAUAGAGCCAUUUCGGUCGAUCCGAGCGGGACAGCAAAGGUACUCGUUAACAUGAUACUUGCAAAUUCCACAUGAGAAAUUGUUUAUUCAUGUGGCCGACCCGUAAACGUGUGUCUCAAAUGCCGUACGGAUAUGUUUGCCACAGGUGUCCGUGCUGCACAUAGCCGUGGUGACUAUACUGAUCGGGGCCAUACUACUGAUCGUCGGGCUUGUUCAGCUGAAGCCGGGCGCAGACGCGUCUCAGUACAAGUUCGUGUUGAUCUUCUCCGGUCUGAUCACCACGUUGGUCGGCAUCCUCGCGGCCAUCGUCCGGUGCUGCCUGCUGCCUUGGGUCUCCAAACGUCGGCAAAGAAGGUCCACCCCGUCAACGCCGGGCAUGCUGUUGACCGCAUAAUACUGGAGAGGACGUAGCGCCGCCACCGCAAUAUGAUCAAGAUUCCUGCUUAUCCACUUAAUUCACACACACACACACACACACAUAUGCGAGCGUUUGUUAGUGACGUGAGUCAUAUAUUAUGUACAGACAAAAUUAUGUUAUUUAAUUUUUACUGUCUGCCGCCGGCACAAAGUUAUCCGAAAAUGAUCUAUAUAUUUGGUGUAAAUACUAGACAUAUAUAUUUAAUAGCCGGCAUAAUAAAUAAAAGAGACACCGAAAGUUUAUACAGGUUUAAUUUCAGGAUCGAUAGCGUAAAUCGGUUAAACUGUGGUUGGUUCUAGCAUGCGGUAGACAAGUUGAAUCUUUGGUGUCUCUAUACACAAUAUAUUAUAUAAUAUAAUUGUAUUUUAAUACAUAUUUAUACAAUGCCAAGCACAUACACACACACAAAUACAUGGGUCUGUGAUUUUAACUCUCACCGACAUUGUUCGAUGACCGGUCUGAGUAGUGAGUUUAUUAAGAUGAUUUACUUAGUAGGAACAUUCAAAUAAAAAUUGUUUUAUUCUUGUGUUUUAAAAUUGUAAAGUGAAAAUUCUUUUUUAAUUUUUGUUAUGCUGUUUAUGAUUUUCUAUCUUAUAUUUUAAUAUCCACGGUAAAUAAUCCUAAACAGUGAUUGUAACUCGAUCUUAAUUGUUAAAUAGGUACGUUUCACAUUUUGCACUUAUGACAUAUUAUAUAGUUUAUACCUAUUAUACAAAUACAUUAUACAAUGUAUAUUUUUAAAGUAUUUUUGGGACCAACAAUAUGAAACAUGAAACCAACAUUUCUGGAUCAUUUUAGUCCGAUUCACAUGCUACAUAUCUCUAAAUAGUUUUUACCACAAAUAAGCAAUGUAUUCACUAUAGUUUUAAUUUUUUUAAUAUUCCAAACCUGGGGCUUUAUUUAAUUUUAAUUUUAUAACUAUAAUACCUAUAGUUUAAGUUUUAUGUUAAAAAUAUACAAACUUCAAAUCGCUGGUCCAUGUUAAUGUCAAAGCAACAAUAAUUGUGACUUUGCUAGUUUUUGGAUUUAUGCCGUAACUUUUGAAGUCUUCCAUUAUUAUUUGUUAUCCUAUAUAUUAUGCAUAUAUUAUUUUAAUUGACUGACCUUUAACAAAACUGACCAAAGUUAAUUUAACCGUUCAAUCAAAAUGUCGUAAUGUCCUUAAUCAAAAUAUAGCACUUUUAUGAUUCGCUCAAAUUUAAAUUAAAUAAUAUAUUCUUUGUUAUUGGCCAACUUAAUUCGUAUAAGAAACUUAAGAAUGAAUUAUUAUUAAAGUUAACAACAUGUUCAGUAAUUUUGUUAGUACAAUAUUGACAUAAAUUAUGAUCUAUUCUCAUAAUCUGAUUUUUAAACAAAGUUAAAAUAAUCUUGAAUCUUAUAUCAAAGGUAUUUUAUAUGAAUACAAAAAAAUAUAUUGAAAGGAUUAAAAUGUUAGAUACUUAAUAGUUAAUUUUAUAAAAAUGUAUUAGUAUUUUAUAACUGUUCAAGUCGUUUUUGUUUAUAGUAUAUAUUAUAAUAUAUACUAAUGGAAUCAUUAGCAAUCUCUAAUUUUUUGAGUAAUGCAAACAGAGUGAUUAUUAAAAGGGUGUAAGUAUACACAUACACUAUUUAAAAAUGGGGCAUUAAUUUAUAUAAUAAUUGUUUAAUACAAAUGUUUUACCCCAUUUGUGGAAUUGCCCAAUUCAUGUAAUGAACAAUGAUAAAUACCGCUAAUUUUAUGAACUGAGAAACAAACAAUUGUUUUAAUAGAUCCUACAUUAAGAUUUUACACAGUUGAGCUUAAAGGACUAUAAUUUUUUAUUUAUUUUUCAAUUUUAUAAGUGAAUUUUAGGUUGCAAAGAUAAUUGAUACAAAUAUUCUAAAAAUUUUAAAAAUUGUACAUGUUAUUUUUCUUUUUAUACCAAACCACGUGCAUUAAUAAUCAAUAGUAUUUAACAUUUUAACCUUAUAAUUUUUAUUUAUUUUUUAUCAUAUAAUUUUUGUCACUAGCCAUACAUAAUAUUAAAAAUUUUAAAUUAUAAAUAUAUAUAUAUAUAUUUAUAUUGUUUUAUUGUAUUUAAUUUUAAAUGAAUGAAAUUAACUAAAAUAAUAAAAAAUGAAAAAUUACAUCACAAUAUAUCUUUAAUUUACCAAGAUCUAGAGUUUUUCUGUUCACGAAAUUGGGAAUUUCACAAAUGAGGUUUACAUAAGCACAAACCAUGUGUAAUUUACAUAAAUUAGUUAUGUUAUUAUGUUAUAGGAAAAAAAUAAUAAAUGUAAAUGUUGUUAUUAUUUUAUUUGAUAUACAAUUUACAGAAUCGUUAUAAUUAUAAACUACAGUGCAUGGAAUUCUCAUAAGGCUCGUCUGAAUUUGUGACCUUGAAAGUGACCAUUUUUUUAUUUAUAUAAGACUGUUAAGUGUUUUUGUGCCAAAAAAAUUUCAUUUUUUAUAUUGUAAUAUUACAUUUUCUAAAAAAAUCUUAUUAAUGUCACAAAAAUAAUUAUUGUUUUAUUUAAGCUUUUGAUUUAUUGUAUGGAUAAAAAAAAUAGUUUAUCCUUGGACCUUUUUGAUAAUCACUCAUUGUUUAAAAAUUAAUUUUAUUUCAAUGAAUUAAUUUAUUUUAUAAUAGAUAUAAUAAUAAAAAUAAGUAUCAUCAAUUAUGUUCUCUUAUAAUAAUUUGUCUAAUAUUUAAAAAAAUAUUUUUUCUUAUUUUUUACACAUGAAUAUAAUAGUAAUAACUAUAUGAUCAAUCACUAAUGUUUAUUGACAUUUUUAAAAUCAAAUAUGUUGAACAUUUUUGUUCUGUUGAUCUGUUAAUUCUUAUGAUAUUUUAUUUUUAACGUUAUUAAAAAUUAAGGAAAAUAUAUAUAAGUUACCUUCCAGGAAUUUUUUACCAAGAAAAAUUGUGAUAAUGUUAGUAAUUUUUAGUAGUAAAACAUAUUUGAAUACAAAAUUGAAAAUGUAUGUUUGAUAUGAAUAUAAGUAGUAUUUAUUGCAAUUGCACUUUAAAUCCGCCCAAUCUAAUCUCUUAAUCAUUUGGUUUUGUAUAUUUUGUUCCAAUGUUUAUUCAAAUUGUUAAUAAUGUACCAUUUAUAAGGUGCAUUUAUAUAUAAUAUGUGUUUAAUAAUAGAUAAAAAAAAAAAAAAAAAAAAAAAAA
rnacentral:misc_RNA from 1 species